AUCCAGACUCCUACGGGAGGCAGCAGUGGGGAAUAUUGGGCAAUGGAGGCAACUCUUACCCAGCAAUGCCGCGUGAAUGAAGAAGGUCUUCGGAUUGUAAAGUUCUUUAAUUGGGGACGAAAAAAAUGACGGUACCCAAGGAAUAAGCCCCGGCUAACUCCGUGCCAGCAGCCGCGGUAAUACGGAGGAUGCGAGCGUUAUCCGGAUUUAUUGGGUUUAAAGGGUGCGUAGGCGGGCUUUUAAGUCAGCGGUAAAAAUUCGGGGCUCAACCCCGUCCGGCCGUUGAAACUGGGGGCCUUGAGUGGGCGAGAAGAAGGCGGAAUGCGUGGUGUAGCGGUGAAAUGCAUAGAUAUCACGCAGAACCCCGAUUGCGAAGGCAGCCUUCCGGCGCCCUACUGACGCUGAGGCACGAAAGUGCGGGGAUCGAACAGGAUUAGAUACCCCCGUAC
rnacentral:rRNA from 1 species